AGCAUGUCUAUCAGUGGGGGGAGGAAAAGUAACCAAGCUUGCUUCAGUCAGGAAGAGUGAAGAGGGAAAGGCAAGCCCAAGUAAUUUGUAAUCUGGCUCUUUCAGAGUCCGAGUUGUAAUUUUGAGAGAUCUGUUUUCAGUGCUGGACCAUUUCAUAAGUCUGUUGAAAAAUAGCAUCAUUGAGGGUGAUAAUCCCGUUCAUGAUAUGGACUACCAGUGCAAUCAUGAUACAGUCUGUCUAAGAGUCGAGUUGUUUGGGAAUGCAGCUCAGAAGUGGGUGGUAAAUUACUUCCAUCUAAGGCUAAAUAUAGGUGAGAGACCGAUAGCAUAACAAGUACACGUAGAGGGAAAGAUGAAAAGAACUUUGGAAAGAAAGAGAAUUAAAAGUAACGUGAAAUUGUUGUAAGAGAAACAUUUGAAGUUAGCCUUGCUGCUGUGUUAGUUCAGCUCUAGUUAACUAGGGUGUAUUCUAGACAAUGACUCGGACGGACCAACAUCAGUUUUUGGGUGCUGGAUAAGGGUGCUUGGAAAUGUAGCAGCCUUGCGCUGUGUUAUAGUCUAUGAUUUAGAUACUAGUGCCUGGGACUGAGGAAUAUUUGCAGCAAGACAGCAGUCACAUGGCUGCCCUUUUUUUAC
rnacentral:rRNA from 1 species